AGCGAACGCUGGCGGCAGGCCUAACACAUGCAAGUCGAACGGACCCUUCGGGGUUAGUGGCGGACGGGUGAGUAACACGUGGGAACGUGCCUUUUGGUUCGGAACAACUCAGGGAAACUUGAGCUAAUACCGAAUGUGCCCUUCGGGGGAAAGAUUUAUCGCCAUUAGAGCGGCCCGCGUCUGAUUAGCUUGUUGGUGAGGUAAUGGCUCACCAAGGCUACGAUCAGUAGCUGGUCUGAGAGGAUGAUCAGCCACAUUGGGACUGAGACACGGCCCAAACUCCUACGGGAGGCAGCAGUGGGGAAUCUUGCGCAAUGGGCGAAAGCCUGACGCAGCCAUGCCGCGUGAAUGAUGAAGGUCUUAGGAUUGUAAAAUUCUUUCACCGGGGACGAUAAUGACGGUACCCGGAGAAGAAGCCCCGGCUAACUUCGUGC
rnacentral:rRNA from 1 species